UGCAGGUUUUCCUACCAGAGCUACUCGGCGGUGCUUGAAGAGAGGUCUUCCAUGAUGCAUUCGCUUUAUUUUUCGACGAAUCAUACAUGGUUGACCUUUUUUUAAGUAUCAAAUCUGGCCUUAAAGCACCCUGGGACGAGG
rnacentral:pre_miRNA from 1 species